rnacentral:rRNA from 2 species
UAGAGUUUUGAUCAUGGCUCAGGACGAACGCUGGCGGCGUGCCUAAUACAUGCAAGUCGAACGAACUCUGGUAUUGAUUGGUGCUUGCAUCAUGAUUUACAUUUGAGUGAGUGGCGAACUGGUGAGUAACACGUGGGAAACCUGCCCAGAAGCGGGGGAUAACACCUGGAAACAGAUGCUAAUACCGCAUAACAACUUGGACCGCAUGGUCCGAGUUUGAAAGAUGGCUUCGGCUAUCACUUUUGGAUGGUCCCGCGGCGUAUUAGCUAGAUGGUGGGGUAACGGCUCACCAUGGCAAUGAUACGUAGCCGACCUGAGAGGGUAAUCGGCCACAUUGGGACUGAGACACGGCCCAAACUCCUACGGGAGGCAGCAGUAGGGAAUCUUCCACAAUGGACGAAAGUCUGAUGGAGCAACGCCGCGUGAGUGAAGAAGGGUUUCGGCUCGUAAAACUCUGUUGUUAAAGAAGAACAUAUCUGAGAGUAACUGUUCAGGUAUUGACGGUAUUUAACCAGAAAGCCACGGCUAACUACGUGCCAGCAGCCGCGGUAAUACGUAGGUGGCAAGCGUUGUCCGGAUUUAUUGGGCGUAAAGCGAGCGCAGGCGGUUUUUUAAGUCUGAUGUGAAAGCCUUCGGCUCAACCGAAGAAGUGCAUCGGAAACUGGGAAACUUGAGUGCAGAAGAGGACAGUGGAACUCCAUGUGUAGCGGUGAAAUGCGUAGAUAUAUGGAAGAACACCAGUGGCGAAGGCGGCUGUCUGGUCUGUAACUGACGCUGAGGCUCGAAAGUAUGGGUAGCAAACAGGAUUAGAUACCCUGGUAGUCCAUACCGUAAACGAUGAAUGCUAAGUGUUGGAGGGUUUCCGCCCUUCAGUGCUGCAGCUAACGCAUUAAGCAUUCCGCCUGGGGAGUACGGCCGCAAGGCUGAAACUCAAAGGAAUUGACGGGGGCCCGCACAAGCGGUGGAGCAUGUGGUUUAAUUCGAAGCUACGCGAAGAACCUUACCAGGUCUUGACAUACUAUGCAAAUCUAAGAGAUUAGACGUUCCCUUCGGGGACAUGGAUACAGGUGGUGCAUGGUUGUCGUCAGCUCGUGUCGUGAGAUGUUGGGUUAAGUCCCGCAACGAGCGCAACCCUUAUUAUCAGUUGCCAGCAUUAAGUUGGGCACUCUGGUGAGACUGCCGGUGACAAACCGGAGGAAGGUGGGGAUGACGUCAAAUCAUCAUGCCCCUUAUGACCUGGGCUACACACGUGCUACAAUGGAUGGUACAACGAGUUGCGAACUCGCGAGAGUAAGCUAAUCUCUUAAAGCCAUUCUCAGUUCGGAUUGUAGGCUGCAACUCGCCUACAUGAAGUCGGAAUCGCUAGUAAUCGCGGAUCAGCAUGCCGCGGUGAAUACGUUCCCGGGCCUUGUACACACCGCCCGUCACACCAUGAGAGUUUGUAACACCCAAAGUCGGUGGGGUAACCUUUUAGGAACCAGCCGCCUAAGGUGGGACAGAUGAUUAGGGUGAAGUCGUAACAAGGUAGCCGUAGGAGAACCUGCGGUUGGAUCACCCUCCUUA